GAUGAACGCUAGCGGCAGGCCUAAUACAUGCAAGUCGAGGGGCAGCACGAGGUAGCAAUACUUUGGUGGCGACCGGCGCACGGGUGCGUAACACGUAUAUAAUCUGCCCUUAUCUGGGAAAUAGCCCGGAGAAAUUCGGAUUAAUGUCCCAUAACAUUAUUGGAGAGCAUUCUUUGAUAAUUAAAGCUCAGGCGGAUAAGGAUGAAUAUGCGACNGAUUAGCUAGUUGGUGAGGUAACGGCUCACCAAGGCAACGAUCA
rnacentral:rRNA from 1 species